rnacentral:rRNA from 1 species
CGGGACGGGGUGGAGUAAUGUCUGGGAAACUGCCUGAUGAGGGGGAGUAACUACUGGAAACGGUAGCUAAUACCGCAUAACGUCGCAAGACCAAAGAGGGGGACCUUCGGGCCUCUUGCCAUCGGAUGUGCCCAGAUGGGAUUAGCUAGUAGGUGGGGUAACGGCUCACCUAGGCGACGAUCCCUAGCUGGUCUGAGAGGAUGACCAGCCACACUGGAACUGAGACACGGUCCAG